UAGUUUAUGUGACAAGUCAUUUGACAUCCUGAAAACAUUAAUGUUAUCAAGGAAAAAAAUUGAGGGUGUGAAUAAAGUGUUCUAGACUGAAAGACAUGUUGAGGACAAAGUAACUAAAUAUGAGAAAGGACUCUAAAAGCAAUUUGGGUUUACUGGGGAAAUUUGAAUGUGAACUGGAUAAUGAAGAAUAUUAAGGAAUCAUGAAUCUUAUUAAGUUUACGUAACCUCUUAUGAGGUUUACGUAAAACACAUGGCAUAAAAAAUAAAUGCAGAUAAAGCAAAAUGACCGAAAAUCAGCUUUUGACCCACGCCUUAGGUAUAUGGGUGGCCAUUUUACUGCUACUUUUGUAUAUUAAAACAUUUACAUAGUAAAUACCUUAUAAAUAGCUGAAACUUGAAAAUUUA
rnacentral:lncRNA from 1 species